rnacentral:ncRNA from 1 species
CGGUUCGCUUAGCAGCGAUGAAAAGGGAAUGGGGUGAGAAUCCCCGACUGUCCCGCAGCUGUAAGUUGUCCUUUACCGGCGCAAGCAUGAUGCCACUGAACCUUUUUCGGGAAGGCGUUUGCGCACGAGGCAACAAAGUCAGAAGACCUGCCGGUUAGC